rnacentral:misc_RNA from 1 species
UUUUUCAUUGCUUGUUUUAUCUGACGAUACAAAUUCAGAGUAUGAGAACUUCGGCGAGUCCGCGCCGGCAGAAUUGAUCUUCCGCCAACGGCUGUUUCCAACGUCUCGCCGAAGCAACGUCGAAUGGUCAAGGGUGGGAGUUCCUGUGCAGGAAAACUCGGUAAUGAUCCUUCCGCAGGUUCACUGUGAAUGUUAGCUGAAUUACUAGGUAAAAGAUUUGACAUACCCUACGGAAA